rnacentral:misc_RNA from 1 species
CUACAAAGUUAAUGUCACCAGUCAGAUUCUUUCAGUCAAUAGCUAAAGCAUUUUAGAGAAGAAGUAUGAUACAAGUGGAGAUAUAAUUACCCACCAUAUCUGAAUGCUCUAAAUGGAAAUUCUACAGUAUGUGUACAAGGUAUGAAAUCAUUGAAUACAAAAAUACUAACGGAUUUUGCUUGUAUAAUCCCAACCAUGACGCCAGCUGAAUAGGAACCCUUUGAACCAUACGCAAAACAGAUGUGUCACUGACGGUAGUAAAGGACAUUAACAAGUCACAGCAAGCUGUUACACUUUGAUAUUCCCACACUUAGAUUGUGAUUGCUUUACAACUUAUUACAUCAUCAUCAGAUAUUGACUUUGGAAUGGAAGUGCUCACUAACACACCAUUCAUGUUCCUUGCGUUUUCAACAUUAAAAACGACGGUGCUAAGGCCCUUUCCAAUAAUGAAGAUAUUGUUCCCCACGGCCACAAGCCGACAGGGAGGCUUUGUCAAUAGGGGUGACAAUCUCCCAACU